rnacentral:rRNA from 1 species
UACGUAGGGGGCAAGCGUUGUCCGGAUUUAUUGGGCGUAAAGAGCGUGUAGGCGGCCAGACAGGUCCGUUGUGAAAACUCGAGGCUCAACCUCGAGAUGUCGAUGGAAACCGUCUGGCUAGAGUCCGGAAGAGGAGUGUGGAAUUCCUGGUGUAGCGGUGAAAUGCGCAGAUAUCAGGAGGAACACCAAUGGCGAAGGCAGCUCGCUGGGACGGUACUGACGCUGAGACGCGAAAGCGUGGGGAGCAAACAGG